CCUACGGGAGGCAGCAGUGGGGAAUCUUGCGCAAUGGGCGAAAGCCUGACGCAGCAACGCCGCGUGAGGGAUGACGGUCUUCGGAUUGUAAACCUCUUUCAAGCAGGGACGAUAAUGACGGUACCUGCAGAAGAAGCUCCGGCCAACUACGUGCCAGCAGCCGCGGUAAU
rnacentral:rRNA from 1 species